rnacentral:rRNA from 1 species
GGCUAACGCUGGCGGCGUGUCUUAGCCAUGCAAGUCGAGCGGACUUAUGGGGUAACUUAUAAGUCAGCGGCGGACGGCGGAGUAACACGUAGCUAACCUACCCUCUGGACGGGGAUAACCUACCGAAAGGUGGGCUAAUACCCGAUGUAGUCAUCCUGUAUAGGGGUGAUGAAAGGUGGGCUUCUGUUUACAAGCUCAUGCUGGAGGAGGGGGCUGCGGCCUAUCAGGUAGUUGGUAGGGUAAUAGCCUACCAAGCCGAUGACGGGUAGCCGGCCUGAGAGGGUGACCGGCCCGAGGGGCACUGAGAUACGGGUCCCACUCCUACGGGAGGCAGCAGGCUAGAAAUUUGGGCAAUGGGGGAAACCCUGACCCAGUGACGCCGCGUGCAGGAAGGAGCCCUUCGGGGUGUAAACUGCUGUCGUGUAGGGAGAAGGGUACUAAGGUGAACAAUCUUUAGUACUUGACGGUACUACAGGAGGAAGCCCAGGCCUAACCUCGUGCCCAGCAGCCGCGGUAAGGCUACGUAGA